GGCGAGACAAUAGGGUGCUGGCGUCCUGUGUAGCGUGCGACUGCGCGACACAGGGGGUGAGACUCAAAUCAGAUCGCUACACAUGUAGAACUGUACGAAAAAGGCUUGUGGACGCGGGUUCAAAUCCCGCCAGCUCCACCA
rnacentral:tmRNA from 1 species